AAUAAGCGAAUUCCUGAGUUUUUUGAUAGAAUUUUCAACUCUUCGUCUUAUUUGAAAAUUUUUUAUAAUUAAUGUUUUUAUCGUUACUACAUGAUAAAACAUGAAUAAUACUUUACAUAUAAUUAAUAUUUUUGAUUUUUUAAUAAAAUUUUUAAAUAAGACGGAUGGUCAAACGCUAAAUCUAGAAAACCCAG
rnacentral:pre_miRNA from 1 species